CANGUCGAACGCGUGUAGCAAUACACGAGUGGCGCACGGGUGAGUAACGCGUGGAUAUCUGCCUUUUGGUUCGGAAUAACUCCGGGAAACUGGAGCUAAUACCGGAUGGUUCCUACGGGAUAAAGAUUUAUCGCCAAAAGAUGAGUCCGCGUACGAUUAGCUAGUUGGUGAGGUAAUGGCUCACCAAGGCGACGAUCGUUAGCUGGUCUGAGAGGACGAUCAGCCACACUGGGNACUGAGACACGGCCCAGACUCCUACGGGAGGCAGCAGUGGGGAAUAUUGGACAAUGGGGGCAACCCUGAUCCAGCCAUGCCGCGUGAGUGAUGAAGGCCUUCGGGUUGUAAAGCUCUUUUGGCGGGGACGAUGAUGACGGUACCCGCAGAAUAAGCCCCGGCUAACUUCGUGCCAGCAGCCGCGGUAAGACGAAGGGGGCUAGCGUUGUUCGGAAUUACUGGGCGUAAAGCGAGUGUAGGUGGUUGUCAUAGUCAGGUGUGAAAGCCUUGAGCUCAACUCAAGAAAUGCACUUGAUACUGGGCGACUAGAGGACCGGANAGGAUAGUGGAAUUCCCAGUGUANUGGUGAAAUACNUANAUAUUGGGAA
rnacentral:rRNA from 1 species